UACGUUCAUCAUUCUUUUUGAAUGACGGAAGUAGACGAAAGUCGAAGGAACGCAUG
ncrna:unclassified sequences Glutamine riboswitch